UAGAGUUAGAUCCUGGCUCAGGACGAACGCGGGCGGCGUGCGUAAUACAUGCAAGUCGAGCGGACAGAAGGGAGCUUGCUCCCGGAUUUUAGCGGCGGACGGGUGAGUAACACGUGGGUAACCUGCCGUAAGACUGGGAUAACUCCGGGAAACCGGAGAUAAUACCGGAUAGUUCCUUGAACCUCAUGGUUCAAGGAUGAAAGACGGUUUCGCCUGUCACUUUCAGAUGGACCCGCGGCGCAUUAGCUAGUUGGGGGGUAAUGGCUCACCAAGGCGACGAUGCGUAGCCGACCUGAGAGGGUGAUCGGCCACACUGGGACUGAGACACGGCCCAGACUCCUACGGGAGGCAGCAGUAGGGAAUCUUCCGCAAUGGACGAAACCUGACGGAGCACACGCCGCGUGAGUGAUGAAGGUUUUCGGAUCGUAAAGCUCUGUUGUUAGGGAAGAACAAGUGCGAGAGUAACUGCUUGCACCUUGACGGUACCUAACCAGAAAACCACGGCUAAUUCGUGCCAGCAACCGCGGUAAUACGUAGGUGGCAAGCGUUGUCUGGAAUUAUUGGGCGUAAAGGGCUCGCAGGCGGUUUUUUAAGUUUGAUGUGAAAGCCCCCGGCUCAACCGGGGAGGGUCAUUGAAACUGGGAAACUUGAGUGCAGAAGAGGAGAGUGGAAUUCCCCGUGUAGCGGUGAAAUGCGUAGAGAUUUGGAGGAACUCCAGUGGCGAAGGCGACUCUCUGGUCUGUAACUGACGCUGAGGAGCGAAGCGUGGGGAGCGAACAGGAUUAGAUACCCUGGUAGUCCACGCCGUAAACGAUGAGUGCUAAGUGUUAGGGGGUUUCCGCCCCUUAGUGCUGCAGCUAACGCAUUAAGCACUCCGCCUGGGGAGUACGYCGCAAGACUGAAACUCAAAGGAAUGACGGGGCCCGCACAAGCGGUGAGCAUGUGUUAAUUCGAAGCAACGCGAAACCUUACCAUGGUCUUGACAUCCUCUGACUACCCUAAAAAUAGGGCUUUCCUUCGGGGACAGAGUGACAGGUGGUGCAUGGUUGUCGUCAGCUCGUGUCGUGAAAUGUUGGGUUAAGUCCCGCAACGAGCGCAACCCUUGAUCUUAGUUGCCAGCAUUUAGUUGGGCACUCUAAGGUGCUGCCGGUGACAAACCGGAAGAAGGGGGGGAUGACGUCAAAUCAUCAUGGCCCUUAUGACCUGGGCUACCCACCUGCUACAAUGGACAGAACAAAGGGCUGCAAAACCCCAAGGAUUAACCAAUCCCUAAAUCUGUUCUCAAUUCCGAUCGGAGUCUGCAACUCCACUGCCUGAAGCUGGAAUCCCUAAUAAUCGCGGAUCAGCAUGCCGCGGUGAAUACGUUCCCGGGCCUUGCACACCCC
rnacentral:rRNA from 2 species